AAGCGAUUCUAAAUCUGUCAACACAAGGAGAGGGUAAAGGCCCUCCCGCGGCCAGUGGCGCCCGACCCUAAUCCCCACCCCCCGCCUGCCCCCGUAAAAACUGGGGAGAGAGGCUGCAGAGUUGCAUUGCCAGGCCGGAGCCACGAGGAGGAAGAGUUUGAUGCCGGAAUGACAAACUCCACAGCACUGAAUUCUUCUCCCUAGUAGGGCACGGAGCAUGUGGAAGAUGGCCAGUGCGCGUGGGAAGAAAGAUGACCUAUUUUCAACGACUGUUUUUAUAACUGGAGUCCCUCCGGUCGCUUAUUUUCCGUCGCCGACGCAGCGCAAUGACGUAGCUUCCCCGACAUUCCGUGCCCAAGAUGGCUGCAGUCGGCAAGGAGAGACGUCGCUAAGGGGCUUGCCUGAGGCGAGAGGUGAGUGAGCGUUGGACCGCGCGUCGCGCCACUCCUGUUCCUCUCCUCUGGAGGUCGGAUUAGGGGAUGGCCACUUGCCUCCAUCCGCCGGCGGAGUCUCUUCUCGAUUCCGCCUCCCUCGGCUACCCCCCGGUGCACAUCAAAGUUAGCGGGCGACGACGGGGCUGAGAGACCCGCUCUGGAAGAGGGUCCGAGGCGCAGGAGGGGGCAGGGAGGCUGGUGCGGACCGUAGAACAGGUAGCAGUCCAGGAAGUGAGGGGCGGUGAGGGAUCGGGGACUUUGUGGCAAGUGAGAAGGGGGCAGGGGUCUUCCACGCGCGGACACUCAGCGGUGCAACCGCAGACAUCUUUCCAGUUAUUUCGAGGUGUGUCGGUCCCAGCCUCGGCGAGGCCUGAGACUUUAGGUACAUUGCUUGUGGUCUGACUUGGGAAUCCGAAGAGCCAUGUAACGAAGGUGGGACUAGGAAUGCGGAAAAAGCACUUCCGCGAUUAGUUUCGUUCUUGCCUAGGCGUCGCCCUUACGGACCCUCUCCUGGAUUGUUUGGUUUGUUGUUAAAGGAAUUGUUCUUUAAAAGAUUGAGGCGUGAGGCUAGAGGUUUUCUGAAAGCUCUCAAACUAUUAUCCGCACAAAGCAUGGUUGGUAACGCUCCCUUGCCUGUUAAACGGAGCUUUCACUAAAUUAUCUCACGUUAGGAACUGCUUCUAAGAACAGUUGGUUGAGGGCGGCCUUUUUGUGUUUUGAAGGUGAACUUGAUAAUGCCUGUGUAUCUCGCUCUAAAUCGAUCUUUUAAGAUGACUAGGACAGUGUCUUGCAGUUAUAGCACUGAUUAGGGUUUACGAAUAGUGCUAGAAUGAAAGCUCCACGAGGGAAGUUUAUAUCCUCAGCACCUAGAACACUGCGUGGCAUAGAGUAAACAUCUAUAUUGCUGAAGGAAUGGAUGGAUGAUGGUGGUGUUGGUAUUUUGUUGGGAGCGUUGUGUUCUUACGAUGCCUGCCUGUUAAAUAAUACUAUGAAUAUAAUAGUUAUCCAGGUUUUUUUUUUUUUUUCCCAGAGUGACUACCAUCAGGUUCUAACUUCAGGGGUUUGCCAAUGAGAUCCUUAAAUCUUUUUUUUUUUUUUUUUUUUUUUGUCUUUUUAG
rnacentral:lncRNA from 1 species